GACGAACGCUGGCGGCGUGCCUAAUACAUGCACGUCGAGUGGCGGACGGGUGAGUAAUGUCUGGGAAACUGCCCGAUGGAGGGGGAUAACUACUGGAAACAGUAGCUAAUACCGCAUACCAUCGGAUUUGCCCAGAUGGGAUUAGCUAGUAGGUGGGGUAACGGCUCACCUAGGCGACGAUCCCUAGCUGGUCUGAGAGGAUGACCAGCCACACUGGAACUGAGACACGGUCCAGACUCCUACGGGAGGCAGCAGUGGGGAAUAUGGCACAAUGGGCGCAAGCCUGAGGCAGCCAUGCCGCGUGUAUGAAGAAGGCCUUCGGGUUGUAAAGUACUUUCAGCGAGGAGGCGUUACUCGCAGAAGAAGCACCGGCGAACUCCGGGCCAGCAGCCGCGGUAAUUC
rnacentral:rRNA from 1 species